ensembl:lncRNA
CUCAGCUCCCAUUAUAAACUGAAUUAUACUCUCCCCAAAUUCAUAAGUUGAAGCUCUAACUUCCCAGCGUUACUGUGUUUGGAGCUUGGCCCUUUAAAGAGGUAAUUGAAUGAGAUUAUAAAGUCGGAGGCCUGACCAAGAGGACUGGCACCUUAGAGAGGAAGAGACACCAGGGAUCCUGCCCACAGAUAAAAGGCUGUUCGAGGACACAGAAGAAGGUCUUCCUCAGACCCCCAAAUUUCCAGACCCAGAAAAGCACCAGAAGCACCCCCCGCCCCGUGGAAAUGAGAAGAAACGUAAACAAGCCUCAAAAACAGACUUCUGGAUCACCUACAGCAACCCCAAAGGGAAAUGAGAUGGAACAAUCUGAUACUCAACCACCUGGACUCUCUGAACUGGCAACAAAAGAGGAUCUGGGAAAAAUGAAAUCAGUGCAAAUGAAUCAAAGUGAAGGACAGAAAGAACCUAGAAACUACCUCCAGAAGGAGACUCCAGCACCCCAAAACCUAGUAACAUAUUUGGCGAGCCAGCCAGGAGGCCAGUGGCCCAGCCUCAGUUUCCCCACACUAGACAACCUCCCAGGAUGGCUACCACCAUUUCUUACGUGGGCCCCCUUGAUUAUGCUGGCUCUGUGAUUGCUUUGACCAAUGGAAUGUGGCAGAAGUGAUAUGCUAGAACUUCUUUCAAUCUGAGGACUUACAAAGAUUAGCAUGUUCUUCUUCUCUUGGAACCCAGCCCCUGUGCUCUAAGAAACCAGAAGCCACACCGGGAGACUGCCUGGAGGAACCUGAGGAGCUCUGGGCCAGCCCCAGCUGAGCCCCCAGCCAGCAGCGCUGACUGCCCACCAUGUGCCAGAGCCAUCUUGCAUGUGGCAACCAGAUAGCAUCGCAUGGGACAGAACUUUCUGGCUGAGUGUGGUCACCUCACAGAAUUGGGACAGAGAGCAUGAUUAGUAACUCAGGUCCAGUGCCUUGUUUGCAGCAACGGAUAACUGAAACACACAUCUUCUUCCUGUUCCUCAGAUCCACCUAGCUCAUUCUCCCAUCAGCUCCAGUGGCUCCUUCUGCUCAGACUCAGUUGACUGGUCCUUUUCAUCUUUCGCGUGAGUCUGUAGCACCUUUGUUUUCCCUUGGAAAGCUGCUCUUUCUUCAGUGCAGCCCACUGGUCAAACCCCCUGUCUUCUCACCCACCCUCAUCUGGACUCCAGGCUUGUAGACAAGACCAAGCUGAUUGGCAACUCUACAUCCUCUUUCUGGGCUCAAUUUCUGAGUCAGAACUGGGUGCAUGGGCCAGGUCAUUCAAUGAGAGUCAGUUCCAGGAAUUAUUAUGAGUAAGGAGAGACUCUUAGCUGGCGUUGUUAAGUUGAUUUCGCAUAAGCCUGGAACUGCUGGUGCCCAACCACAAAGGGCAGGACUGUCUGAGAUGGACAGAAGGCCAGAGACAGAGAGAAAGUGAAAGAAGCUCCUAGAUCUAGCCAUAACUGAAGCUAUUGUUUCUCUAGAUUUUUAGCCAAUACUUCUCAUUCUACUAUCACCCUUCUCUUCCUUUGGGUAACCUAGUUUUAGAUCCAUCUUCUGUCCCUUGCUCUUAAAAUAUCACCAUUGCUAGGCUCACUCUUUACCAUUUCUGCCAAGUAUGAGGUUGAACAAUAUGAAGUUGGCAUUCUUACUGGUCAAAAUGACUGAAUAUCAGAAAUCUUAUAUGCUACCUAACUUGAACAGCUCCAGAAAUGGGAAAAUCAUUAUUGAUGCAGCCCAAUUAAAUAUUAGAGAUUUAACUCAUAGAAAGUUUAAAAAACCACACCCAAAUCCAUCUCCUUGUUCCCCCACAGUCCUGGGCACUCUCCUCGUUUGAUGUCAAGUGGAGCACUUAACUUCAAAACACCAGAGUGGAGUCUCCUGCAGGCAGAAAAGCAUGAGAUUAUGG